UAGGUACUCCCUCCGUUUCAAAUUACUCGUCGUAGAAAUGAAUGUAUCUAGAACUAAAAUACAUUUAGAAACAUCUAUAUCUGUGACAAGUAAUUCGAAACGGAGGGAGUACGUA
rfam:Triticum aestivum genome assembly, contig: Triticum_aestivum_CS42_TGACv1_scaffold_375505_5AL